rnacentral:rRNA from 1 species
UACGUAGGCAGCAAGCGUUGUUCGGAAUUACUGGGCGUAAAGGGUGCGUAGGCGGCUUUUUAAGUUUGGUGUGAAAUCUCCCGGCUCAACUGGGAGGGUGCGCCGAAUACUGAAUGACUAGAGUGCGGGAGAGGUGAGUGGAAUUCCUGGUGUAGCGGUGAAAUGCGUAGAUAUCAGGAGGAACACCGGUGGUGUAGACGGCUCACUGGACCGUAACUGACGCUGAGACACGAAAGCGUGGGUAGCAAACAGG